rfam:Sarcophilus harrisii ctg7180002502825, whole genome shotgun sequence.
GUUUGUGUAGCUUAACAUAAAGCAAAGCACUGAAAAUGCUUAGAUGGACUUUAAUUAGUUCCACAAGCA